rnacentral:rRNA from 1 species
UACGAAGGGGGCUAGCGUUGCUCGGAUUGACUGGGCGUAAAGGGCGCGUAGGCGGUUCGUACAGUCAGACGUGAAAUUCCUGGGCUCAACCUGGGGGCUGCGUUUGAUACGUGCGGACUUGAGUGCGGAAGAGGGUCGUGGAAUUCCCAGUGUAGAGGUGAAAUUCGUAGAUAUUGGGAAGAACACCGGUGGCGAAGGCGGCAUCCUGGACUGGUCCUGACGCUCAGGAGCGAAAGCGUGGGGAGCGAUCCGG